AACGAACGCUGGCGGCAGGCCUAACACAUGCAAGUCGAACGCUCUAGCAAUAGAGAGUGGCAGGCGGGUGAGUAACGCGUGGGAACCUUCCCAAUGGUGCAGAAUAGCCCAGGGAAACUUGGGGUAAUACUGCAUAAGCCCUUCGGGGGAAAGAUUUAUCGCCAUUGGAUGGGCCCGCGUCGGAUUAGCUAGUUGGUGAGGUAAUGGCUCACCAAGGCAACGAUCCGUAGCUGGUUUGAGAGAAUGACCAGCCACACUGGGACUAAGACACGGCCCAGACUCCUACGGGAGGCAGCAGUGGGGAAUCUUGGACAAUUGGCGCAAGCCUGAUCCAGCCAUGCCGCGUGAGUGACGAAGGCCUUAGGGUUGUAAAGCUCUUUUGCCGGGGACGAUAAUGACGGUACCCGGAGAAUAAGUCCCGGCUAACUUCGUGCCAGCAGCCGCGGUAA
rnacentral:rRNA from 1 species